UACGUAGGGACCAAGCGUUGUUCGGAUUUACUGGGCGUAAAGGGCGCGUAGGCGGCAAAUUAAGUCAGCUGUGAAAUCUCCGAGCUUAACUCGGAACUGUCAGCUGAUACUGAUGUGCUAGAGUGCGGAAGGGGCAAUCGGAAUUCUUGGUGUAGCGGUGAAAUGCGUAGAUAUCAAGAGGAACACCAGUGGCGAAGGCGAGUCCCUGGACAACGCCUGACACUGAGGCACGAAAGCUAGGGGAGCAAACAGG
rnacentral:rRNA from 1 species